rnacentral:rRNA from 1 species
AGCGAACGUUUGCGGCGGGCCUAACACAUGCAAGUCGAACGCACUAGCAAUAGUGAGUGGCGCACGGGUGCGUAACACGUGGGUAAUCAACCCUUCAGCCUGGGAUAACGACUCGAAAGGGUCGCUAAUACCGGAUACGGCGCGAGAGGCUUCGGCUUCUCACGAGAAAGCCACGCAAGGGGCACUGAAGGACGAGCCUGCGGCCCAUCAGCUAGUUGGUGAGGUAAGAGCUCACCAAGGCUAAGACGGGUAGCUGGUCUGAGAGGAUGAUCAGCCACACUGGAACUGAGACACGGUCCAGACUCCUACGGGAGGCAGCAGUGGGGAAUAUUGCGCAAUGGGCGAAAGCCUGACGCAGCCACGCCGCGUGAGCGAUGAAGGCCUGGGUCGUAAGACUCUGUGGGAGGAGACGAAGAAAGACCUGUGAAGAGCAGGCCUUGACGGUAGUCUCCUUA